rnacentral:rRNA from 1 species
AACGUAGGUACCGAGCGUUAUCCGGAUUUACUGGGCGUAAAGCGCGUUCAGGCGGUUUGGCAAGUCGGGCAUGAAAUCUCUCGGCUCAACCGGGAGAGGUUGUCCGAUACUGCUGGACUUGAGGGCAGUAGAGGGUGGUGGAAUUCCGGGUGUAGUGGUGAAAUGCGUAGAUAUCCGGAGGAACACCAGUGGCGAAAGCGGCCACCUGGACUGUACCUGACGCUAACACGCGAAAGCUAGGGGAGCGAACGGG